rnacentral:tRNA from 1 species
UCCCCGGUAGCUCAGUCGGCAGAGCGGGUGGCUGUUAACCACUUGGUCGGGGGUUCGAGUCCCUCCCGGGGAGCCA